AAAAAAACUAUGCAAACAUACUUCCUUACGCAACCCAUGCAGUUAAACCCAUAGAUAUGGGAUAAAGGUCAUUCAUUAGUUCCAUUAUGUAUUAAUAGUUCAAUAAUGUAAACCCAUGAACGAGACACCACUCACUGCAAUUCACAGCUACAACUCGUUAAUAAUUUGCAACAUAUACAUAUCUCUUCCUUAGCUGGAGAUUCAUGUUCUAUGUAUAAAGAUAAGUUACACAAGUCUUUAAGUGAUUUAUCACAGACAAUAUUCACAUAGAGCAUGCACUACAUUUUAUAUUUUGGAGUUAUUUCGUUAUGCUGGAAAUCAAUUCAACUGGAGUAUUAAUUAGAAUAUGUUAGCUGAUUUAAGUAUACAUUAUUAUAUAUUAAGCCUUACGUUUUUCAAGGAAUUCUAAAACCAGACACUGUUCUUCCUCAAAACAAACAUACUCCACUUUUUAAGGAAUUA